UUCCAAAGUGAUCCCCUCUCCCACAGGACAACCCGUUGCUCCGCAAGCUCCCAGAAACAAAGCAACUUGGGAUGAAAGGUGGUGUGCCCAAGGUCUGUGAGAGCGACGGGAUGUUUCCUUUUGACUUACAACUGCCUACAAAU
rnacentral:snoRNA from 1 species